rnacentral:lncRNA from 1 species
GUUUUGUUACUAGCAUGCUCCAUUGUAGAGUUGGUUGCAUUCACUUCCUUUGCAUUGUGCCUCGAUAACAACUUGUCGAAUGCACAGGGGUUCUUUCGUGCUCUAGAAACGAGAGCUGUGUUUCUACUUCCAUGUCACAGGACCAAGGUUGGGCCUCCUGCUUGCCAUGCUCUGUUGGACAUUACUGUGCUAGCGAGCACACCAGCCAGGAGGUGAUGCUGCUGGCCAUGGUUUGCCCAGCGGGUCUCCGGUGCCCAGAAGGACAGGCAGUCAUUCCAGAGGCCAUUGCAAAUGCCUGCCCCAGGGGCUACUACUGUCCCCAGGGAGAUACUGUGAGUGCAUCUCCUUUGGUCUUCGGUCUGUUUUUCUGAGUUUGUUCUCACUAAUUGGAAAGAAAUAUUUUCAUAGCUUCAUCCGCUGCGUUGUUGGCGUUAUGGGAUGCGGCAGUCGUGUUAGAGCCAUUUUUUUACUUCAUUUCAAGGGCUCAGAUGCUAAGCCUUGCCCCAAUGGGACCUAUGGUAAACAGAAGGGACUAAGCAGUGCUGAGGAAUGCUCACAGUGCCCUGCAGGGAAGUACUGCUACAGAGCCGGGAGCGAGCCUUCAGGAAUUCCCCACCCUACUGGGGAUUGUCCACCUGGCUAUAACUGCCCUCCAGGAACUGGAUUCCCUUUCUCCUUCCCCUGUACUCCUGGAUUCUUUUGGGACAAUUCCAGUGCAGAGGGUGAAGACAGGUGCAAACCGUGUCCAGCUGGGAACUACUGUGACUCUCCUGCCAUGACAGAGCCUAAAGCUUGCCCAGUAGGCUUUUACUGUGGCGAAGGCAGCUCUAAACCUGAGCCCUGCCCAGCGGGAACCUACAGUAACAAAAAGGGACUGUCUGGACCAUCAGAGUGCAACCCGUGUGGCCAUGGUUUCUACUGUGCUGCUCCAGGGCAGACUGGGCCAAGUGGUCCCUGCAAGGCUGGGUUCUACUGCCAGGGCAGGGCCCUUACUGCAGUAAGUCAUGUGGCGAGCUUUUCUCCUUACCUAUUUGUGUUGCUUUGUGGUGGGGUGUUUUUGACCCAGCAACUUCAAGAGCCAAAGUUUUGCUCUGCACUCAUCCAAGCUUAUAGCACGAGGGCCACUCUGCUGCCCUCCAAGGGAGUGUAACCAUCUUACAGCUUUCCCU